CGAGACUUUUUUGAGUGACUUCAAUUACAAGUGAAAGUUGUCUUUUUGAGGCAACAAAAAUUACAGUAAAUUAAGCAAAUAUAAUUUUGAUUAAUAUUAUAACCUACAGUAAACAGGGUUCAACUGGAUCACUUGGGUUGAGCAUAUUUUUUUGGCUUUUCAAUGUGAAUCUAAUUGAUUGAUUCCAAUUGUUUCCAAAUGGAUUUCAUUACCUGUUAACUCAAUGAAUAAACUGUAUUCUGCCUGCUUUUUACGGACUAAAAUAAUUCAAUUGAAAUGUAUAUUUGAACCUUUCCUAUUUUUUUGGAUGUUAACUGACGGUAAUACUAAUAUUAAUGGGUAAAGAAAUACGCAUAUUUAGGUUAAACAAUCACGAUUCUGACGGAUUCCAGAAAGAUUAUCAUCUUGCUCAUCAACUUACUAAUCAUCAGUAUUUUAAGUUGCCUUUAAUCAUGAUUGACAUGCACAAAUGAACCGUUGAUUUGAUAAAGAUUAACCACAAAAAGAAAACUAUUAAGGUAAUUGGUAAUAUGUAUCAAGACAAUAAUAGAUAGUAAAAUGAGUAUUCAAUUAAACCAGGUACAAUGAUGACCAUAACAGCCAAAUGGAAUCAAGUGUUGAAACCAAUCAUAAUAUCUUUUGAUGGACAUUUGGACCUGAGUAUAAUCUGAGCUCAAACCGAACCAAUAUGGCAAAAUUACAAUGUAUCUUAGUAUCUCAAUUCAAUUACAGUCAUAAGAUGGUCAUUUGUUUCUUGUUACAAUUAUACAAAAUGGAAAACAACUCGAUGAUAUCAUCUCAGGAACGAGACGAGGACUCCUUAAACUAUGCAAAUGGACCUAAGAAUGAAAAUUGUGAUCAUCACCGACUCCAACGUAUUCAACGUAAUACAUGCAUAAAUCGUUAUGCACAGGUAGUUGCUCAACUCACAUUAGAGUUGAUGAGAGAUGUUUGAACGCUGAAAAGACAAAUUGCUGAGCUAAGUGGGCAGAUAAUGGUUGUAAUAAUAAUGAUAAUAAUAAGCCAUCAAAAGUCAAAGUAAUAUGAAAAAAAGGCUAACGCCCGGAGCUAAUUUUCACAGUCGCCCUUCCGGAGAAGCACAUUACCAUCAUCAUUUCAUUUGUAAUGAAAACUAGAGAAAGUAAAGAUGAGCCUGAAAACAAUCAACAAGCAAACCGAACAUUGACCUUUUUGUUUGUUGAUUAAAUAUAAUUUUUGCUGAUUUCUUAUGAUUUGUUAGCUGCUCAAAAUUGCUGUUAAUGUGAUGCUUUGGCUAUUUUAUUUUAUUUUCACGCAAUUUUGAUCAUUUGAAUCACGAUUUGAAAAACUUUGCUCAACUAUCCCAUUACAAUUAACAGUAAAAAGCGGUUUCAUUUUUGUUCAAGUGAAACAAGCAAAAAAGGUGAAAGUUGAUAUCUAAUCAUGAUCACAGUGAACACAAAAUUGAACAAAAAAAGUUAAUGUCAAGUGUGUUGAUCAACACAUUAAAUCAUCUUUAUCUCGACUCAUCAUAACUGUUAACCUUUAAUCGUGUAAACAAUUGAUUAGAAUCAAUGAAAUGAUCAAUUAAUUUACACAAAUUAAAGUGUAAUUGUUAGCCGUUUGAAAUGGUUUUUGGCUUUUCACUUUUCUGCUAACCUUAAGGGAAACAAUUGUUAUGUUUCAAAAGGGAAAAAUGUUUCAAUUCAACAAUUUAAAUUACUAACAGUUGAACAUUUAAAUUGAGUGGACAAUUUUUUUGACAAUUUACAGUUGACCCGAUAAAUUACCAUUAAAAGUGUUUAAAGCUACACAAAGGUUGAAAUGGCGACCAUUUACAGAGUCAACAAUUGACUUUACAAUUACAGUUAAACAAUUUGAUUGUUCAAGUUGAUGGUGAUGAUGAUAAGUCGUUAGCUUUUUAUGCUUCAUUAUUAUAAUCAUGUUCAAGUAUCAAUUCAUUCAUUGAUCAUUUACUCAUCCAAUUGUACUC